rnacentral:rRNA from 1 species
GACGAACGCUGGCGGCGCGCCUAACACAUGCAAGUCGAACGGAGCGACGAGAAGCUUGCUUUUCUUAGCUUAGUGGCGGACGGGUGAGUAACGCGUGAGUAACCUACCCUGGAGUGUGGGACAACAGUGGGAAACGACUGCUAAUACCGCAUAAUAUCACGAUCCGGCUGCUUAUAUAGUGAAAGAGAUUUAUUCGCUUCAGGAUGGACUCGCGUCCAAUUAGAUAGUUGGUGAGGUAACGGCCCACCAAGGCGACGAUUGGUAGCCGGACUGAGAGGCUGAACGGAGACACUGGGACGGAGACACGGUAGAGAAUCCUACGGGAGGCAGCAGUGGCGGAUAUUGCAAAACGGGGGAAAUGAUGAUGCAGCGCCGAUGCGUGGAGGCAGAAGGUUUUCGGAUUGUAAACUCCUGUCGUCAGGGCAGAUAAUGACGGUACCUAACCAGAAAGCAACGGCUAACUACGUG